CUUGCUACCCGCUGACGAGCGGCGGACGGGUGAGUAAUGCAUAGGAAUCUGCCCGAUAGUGGGGGAUAACCUGGGGAAACCCAGGCUAAUACCGCAUACGUCCUACGGGAGAAAGGGGGCUCCGGCUCCCGCUAUUGGAUGAGCCUAUGUCGGAUUAGCUAGUUGGUGAGGUAAAGGCUCACCAAGGCGACGAUCCGUAGCUGGUCUGAGAGGAUGAUCAGCCACAUCGGGACUGAGACACGGCCCGAACUCCUACGGGAGGCAGCAGUGGGGAAUAUUGGACAAUGGGCGAAAGCCUGAUCCAGCCAUGCCGCGUGUGUGAAGAAGGCCCUCGGGUUGUAAAGCACUUUCAGCGAGGAAGAACGCCUAGUGGUUAAUACCCAUUAGGAAAGACAUCACUCGCAGAAGAAGCACCGGCUAACUCCGUGCCAGCAGCCGCGGUAAUACAGGGUGCAAGCGUUAAUCGGAAUUACUGGGCGUAAAGCGCGCGUAGGUGGCUUGAUAAGCCGGUUGUGAAAGCCCCGGGCUCAACCUGGGAACGGCAUCCGGAACUGUCAAGCUAGAGUGCAGGAGAGGAAGGUAGAAUUCCCGGUGUAGCGGUGAAAUGCGUAGAGAUCGGGAGGGAAUACCAGUGGCGAAGGCGGCCUUCUGGACUGACACUGACACUGAGGUGCGAAAGCGUGGGUAGCAAACAGGAUUAGAUACCCUGGUAGUCCACGCCGUAAACGAUGUCGACCAGCCGUUGGGUGCCUAGCGCACUUUGUGGCGAAGUUAACGCGAUAAG
rnacentral:rRNA from 1 species